CCAAUAGCGUAUAUUAAAGUUGUUGCAGUUAAAAAGCUCGUAGUUGAAUUUCGGGAUCAAUAUUUCGGUCAUGCCGUUGGUAUGCACUGUUAUCAUUGAUUUCUCACCUUCUAAAGAACCGUAAUGCCAUUAAUUUGGUGUUACGGGGAAUUAGGACUGUUACCUUGAAAAAAUUAGAGUGUUUAAAGCAGGCUCACGCUUGAAUACAUUAGCAUGGAAUAAUGAAAUAGGACAUCCGAUUCUAUUUUGUUGGUUUAUAGGAUCGAUGUAAUGAUUAAUAGGGAUAGUUGGGGGCAUUAGUAUUCAAUUGUCAGAGGUGAAAUUCUUGGAUUUAUUGAAGACUAACUACUGCGAAAGCAUUUGCCAAGGAUGUUUUCAUUAAUCAAGAACGAAAGUUAGGGGAUCGAAGACGAUCAGAUACCGUCGUAGUCUUAACCAUAAACUAUGCCGACUAGGGAUCGGAUGAUGUUAAUUUUUUAAUGACUCAUUCGGCGCCUUAC
rnacentral:misc_RNA from 1 species